AGGAUGUCGGGGUCAGUCACCCAGCUACACAGCCAGCCACGGAGUAAGAGUGAAAGGAAAAUACUCACUUGCAUACAGAUUUCAUGAUAUCUUAAAAAGAAAUAGCUAACUCAACUCAAGUGGACAAUUUAGAAGAAUUGAAAUAGGAAGAAAAAAAAUCUUCAUCUGUGUAAUCGCAUAUGAAGCAGAAUAAUGUGUCUGAGAAAUGAC
rnacentral:lncRNA from 1 species